UACGUAGGUGGCAAGCGUUGUCCGGAUUUACUGGGCGUAAAGAGCGCGCGGGCGGUCGAGUAAGUCGAAUGUGAAAGCCCCCGGCUUAACUGGGGAGGGUCAUUCGAUACUGUUCGACUUGAAGGCAGGAGAGGGCAGCAGAAUUCCCGGUGUAGUGGUGAAAUGCGUAGAUAUCGGGAGGAAUACCAGUGGCGAAGGCGGCUGCCUGGCCUGUUCUUGACGCUGAGGCGCGAAAGCUGGGGGAGCAAACGGG
rnacentral:rRNA from 1 species